UGAAUUCCAAAUGUUUAUCUUCAUUGACUUGGGUUUUGCUGCCUUGAAACUUGGUUCUGAGUCUUCUGUCGUGUUUCUCUUGAUAUUGCAGGUUGU